rnacentral:rRNA from 1 species
CCUACGGGAGGCAGCAGUGGGGAAUAUUGCACAAUGGGGGGAACCCUGAUGCAGCGACGCCGCGUGGGUGAAGGAGUACCUCGGUACGUAAAGCCCUAUCAGCAGGAAAGAAAAUGACGGUACCUGACUAAGAAGCCCCGGCUAACUACGUGCCAGCAGCCGCGGUAAUACGUAGGGGGCAAGCGUUAUCCGGAUUUACUGGGUGUAAAGGGAGCGUAGACGGCAGGGCAAGUCCGGAGUGAAAGCCCGGGGCUCAACCCUGGGACUGCACUGGAAACUGGAAAGCUGGAGUGCAGGAGGGGCAGGCGGAAUUCCUGGUGUAGCGGUGAAAUGCGUAGAUAUCAGGAGGAACACCGGCGGCGAAGGCGGCCUACUGGACCGUAACUGACGUUGAGGCUCGAAAGCGUGGGGAGCAAACAGGAUUAGAUACCCCUGUAGUC